rnacentral:rRNA from 1 species
AUUGAACGCUGGCGGCAUGCCUUACACAUGCAAGUCGAACGGUAACAGGUCUUCGGAUGCUGACGAGUGGCGAACGGGUGAGUAAUGUAUCGGAACGUGCCCAGUCGUGGGGGAUAACUACUCGAAAGAGUGGCUAAUACCGCAUACGACCUGAGGGUGAAAGCGGGGGAUCGCAAGACCUCGCGCGAUGGGAGCGGCCGAUAUCAGAUCAGGUAGUUGGUGGGGUAAAGGCUCACCAAGCCAACGAUCUGUAGCUGGUCUGAGAGGACGACCAGCCACACUGGGACUGAGACACGGCCCAGACUCCUACGGGAGGCAGCAGUGGGGAAUUUUGGACAAUGGACGCAAGUCUGAUCCAGCCAUGCCGCGUGCGGGAAGAAGGCCUUCGGGUUGUAAACCGCUUUUGUCAGGGAAGAAACGAGUUUCUCUAAUACAGAGACUUAAUGACGGUACCUGAAGAAUAAGCACCGGCUAACUACGUGCCAGCCGCCGCGGUAACAC